rnacentral:rRNA from 1 species
GAUGAACGCUGGCGGCGUGCCUAAUACAUGCAAGUCGAGCGAACGGACGAGAAGCUUGCUUCUCUGAUGUUAGCGGCGGACGGGUGAGUAACACGUGGAUAACCUACCUAUAAGACUGGGAUAACUUCGGGAAACCGGAGCUAAUACCGGAUAAUAUUUUGAACCGCAUGGUUCAAAAGUGAAAGACGGUCUUGCUGUCACUUAUAGAUGGAUCCGCGCUGCAUUAGCUAGUUGGUAAGGUAACGGCUUACCAAGGCAACGAUGCAUAGCCGACCUGAGAGGGGGAUCGGCCAAACGUGAACUGGGACACGGUCCAGACUCCUACGGGAGGCAGGAGUAGGGAAUCUUCCGCAAUGGGCGAAAGCCUGACGGAGCAACGCCGCGGGAGUGAUGAAGGUCUUCGGAUCGUAAAACUCUGUUAUUAGGGAAGAACAUAUGUGUAAGUAACUGUGCACAUCUGGACGGUACCUAAGCAGAAAGCCACGGCUAACUACGU